UUCGCUUACCACCUCAAGAAGGUGGCUGGUCUCGCGGGGGUGCUUACAGAGGGUGGUCUACGUCGAGGUGGGGUGGCUGGUUAUAGGCUAGAAACAGAGAAGCCUCCCCCAAAUAGUGUUUCUUACACCUCUGUUUUGAAGUCACCGGCAAACUCUCUGUUAGGGGGCAGCUUUGCCAUGGCGUCAAUAGGCAAGGAGACCAACUAGCAUUGAAGGUGACUCUCGUUGCUUUGUGGGUAGUGGGGUGUCCUUUGUCCAGCGUACGAAGUUGGGGGAAGUGGAAGGUAUUUUGUGGGCUAUCAGAGCACAGUUGUCUGAGGUAUAAAGGAAGUUUCAGUAUUGAUGAAUAAAGUGGAUGUAGGCCUAAGCUUGGUAAUGGACGUGAAAGGGAGGGUCUGUGAAUUUGAAGGCCCUGGCAAAGGAGUUACCUGGACUGGGCCAGAACUUGAAAGGGCCUGCGAGCCCACAGUUUGUUCAAAGGGGGCCUAAGCGGCUGUUGGUAGGAUGGGCUGGGUUGAGCCCAUUAGGCCCAUCCAUUUUGUCUAGAGAGCCAAGGGGUACUCUUGGGCCUGAGAGACUCUGGUCUUGGCUAGAAGUUUGGUGCCGUUCCCGAUCUCAAAUGAGAGAAAUUUAUGCGAGGAGGUGUCGUCCUCCACCAGGCUACCUCGGUUUGAAGGUUAUGACGACCCUUUGCUUAAAUCUGGUCCCUCUCAGCCCUCAGAGUUUCUCUUUAGGGCCCAAGGCCUUCAUCCAACAUUCUGUGAACUAGAGACCCCUUCAAGGGUUCUGUGCACAGUGGCAAAAGGGGAUGAUGAGUCAUCGAUUGAUGGGGUUCUCACGGAUGUUGAAUCUUCACUUGGGUCUGAUUACAAUUAGUUUGCAAGGAGUUUGGAGUUGACAUGGAGCUGGGGGGAUUCAGGAGACGUACCUAGUCCUUUAUGCUUGUUGCCACCGGCGCCUUCAUGGGCUGGCAUACAAUCUAAUUGGGUUUUACAAAAGGUAGAUGAACUUUGUCAUUGCAUCCGGAUUUCAUGCGAAGAGUUUGAGGACCAGUUUAAAGCUUUUCUCACUGCCAUAGAAGUAGGGCAGCUACUUCUUGCCAAAUAUGCCGCUAAAAAAGAUAGGAAGCUUAAGAGGCUUGCUUGCUCCAUAAACUAUGAUGCAAGGGAAGGAAGUGCGAGUAGGGGGAGACACAAUGAUAGGGUGAACCUCGGCGUUUCAUGAAGCCCAAGAUCCUUUCAUGGAAUGUUCGGGGACUGAAUGACCCGAGCAAGCGUCUUAGAGUGAAGAAUUUAUCAUGGGAAUGGAAGGCAAUGUGAUUUGUUUGCAGGAGACUAAGUUGAAGAGUCUAUCAACAGGCAAUUAAUAAGAAGCUUGUGGAAUUGCUCCUACAUGGGAUGGACCAUGCUUGUCUCCAAGAUUGCUUCAGGGGGCAUUUUAGUGUUGUGGGAUAAGUGAGUAGUUAAUUUGGUGGAGGAUUUCAUUGGUGAAUUUUCGAUAGCUUGCUCUUUCUCAAAUGUAGAAGAUGGUUUUGGUUGGGGGUUCUUAGGAGUUUACGGGUCAAAUGUUGACAGCAAAAGACAACUCCUUUGGGAUGAGAUCGCUUGUUUGUUUUGUUGGUGGGAUAUCCCAUGGUGUAUUGGAGGAGAUUUCAACGUUACUCGGUUCCCGAGUGAAAGAUCAGGAGACUCUAGCAUGGGUACAGCCACGGCUGACUUUUCAACACUUAUUUUUGGGCUGGACUGGGUAGAUCGACCUUUGGCGGGGGGAGAUUUCACUUGGUCUAACGGGAGGGCCUGAUCUAGGUUGGACAGGUUCAUUGUCUCUCCCUCCUGGGAGGUCCACUGCCCCAACCUUUGCCAAAAAAGCUCUCUAGGCUUUGCUCUGACCACUUCACCCUCUUAUUAGAUUGCGGGGGUCUUCACGGGGGAUGGAGAUAUUUUAAAUUUGAGAACAUGUGGUUGAAGGUCGAUGGGGAAAGUUAGAUUGUGGUGGGCCUUUUAUCAACUCAUGGCCACCCCUAGUUUUGUUUUGGCGGGGAAGCUUAAAGCUUUGAAAAAUGAUCUAAGAAAAUGGAAUUGGGAAGUCUUUGGGAACAUUAACGACUAGCGGCUUCCUUUAUUUCAAGAGCUACAACAAUUUUAUGAUAAAGAAGUGGAUGGGGAUCUUUCGGCGGAUGAUAAGGCAAGGAAAAUGAUUGUAGUAGCUGAGCUGGAAAAAAUACUCUUAUGGAGGAGAUCUCUUGGAGACAAAAAUCUUGAGCCUUUUGGUUGAAGAAAGGGGACAAGAGCACAAAGUUUUUCCAUAGAGUUGCUAACUCCCAUUGUAGAAACAAUACCAUUGAGAUCCUUCAUUCGAAAGGUAGGGUUUUGACGGAUAGAGUUGCUAUCAAGAACUACAUUUUCCACUUUUACGACAAGCUGUUAACGGAGCAAUAUCAAUGGAGGCCUAAAAUAGACGGACUCAUUUUCGAUUCAAUUGAUCAAUCAAGUGCAGCUUGGUUGGAGAGGUCCUUUGAAGAGGACGAGGUGCUUAGCGUGCUUAAAGGGAUGGAUAAAGACAAAGCACCAUGCCCAGAUGGCUUCACAAUGACGUUCUUUCAAACUUGUUGGGACAUUGUCAAGGAGGAUUUCAUGAAGGUUUUUCUCGAACUUCACUCUUUAAUGAGAUUUGAGAGAAGUCUUAACUCCACUUUCAUUGCCCUUACCCCAAAAAGGGCAAAGUCGGUGGAGGUGCAAGAUUUCCGUCCCAUAAGUUUGGUAUAUUGGGUCUACAAGAUCAUCUCAAAAGUUCUUGCUAAGCGACUAAGCGAAGUUAUGGGGAAGAUCAUCUCGAAGUCACAAAACGCUUUCAUUAAAGGAAGACAAAUUCUAGACUGUUCUUAUUGCUAAUGAAUGCUUGGAGAAUAGAGUUAGAGACGGCACCCCAGGUAUUUUGUGUAAAUUGGAUAUGGAGAAGGCGUUUGAUCACGUGAAUUGGGAUUUCUUGUAUAUUCUUGGCAGGCAUGGCUUCGAGGAAAGAAGGCGUUUGGUCACAACUGUCAAAUUCUCAUUUUGAUCAAUGGCACUCCCGAAGGCUUCUUCAAUAAUUCUCGGGGUUUGAGACAAGAGGAUCCCUUAUACCCCUUGUUAUUCAUUCUUAUGAUGGAUGUGCUAAGUAGAAUGUUGGAGGGGGUGGUGGACAGGGGCUUCAUCUUGGGCUUCUCAGUGGGUGGUUCCUCGCAUGGUAGCAUAUUAGUCGCUCACCUCCUUUUCGCUGAUGAUACGUUGAUUUUCUAUGACCCGGAUCCCAACCAGAUUCUCUCCUUGAGAGCUCUCCUUCUUUGUUUUGAAGCUGUCUCCGGGCUUAAAGUGAACUUAUCAAAGUCUGAAAUAGUUCCAGUUGGUUUGGUUAAUAAUUUAAGCGAAGUGGCUGCCAUCUUGGGCUGCAAGGUGUCAUCCUUGCCUAUGAAGUACCUGGGAUUUCCUUUGGGGGCUCCUCAUAAAUCCAAGGCAACGUGGGAUGGGAUUGUUGAGAAAAUUGAAUGCAAACUGUCGGGUUGAAAGAUAAUUUACUUGUCUGAAGGCGGUAGAACCACUCUUAUUAAGAGCACAUUAUCUAAUCUUCCAACGUACUUUUUAUCUUUGUUUCCUUUGCCUGUAGGGGUGGCAAAUAGACUGGAGAAGAUUUACCGUUACUUCUUGUGGGGAGGGCUAGAAGAUGAGAAAAAAUUCCAUUUAAUUAAAUGGGAUAAAGUCUGCACCCAUUUGUCUUGUGGUGGAUUGGGGGUUAGAAAAUUGAGAACCUUCAACAAGGCUCUUCUUGGAAAGUGGCUAUGGCGGUACCAUCAGGAAGGGGACGCUCUUUGGAGGAGCAUUAUUGAUAUUAAAUACGGGAGCAUUUGGGGGGCGAUUGGUGCUCUAAUGUAGUAAGAGGGGCCUACGGAGUGGGUGUUUGGAAACUCAUUCGGAAUGGAUGGGAAGAUAUACUCGGUAAUUUCAGACUUGAGGUGGAAAGGGCCACACGAAUCAGGUUUUGGCAUGAUAUUUGGUGUGGUGAUAUGGCCUUGAAAAACGCUUUCCCCUCUCUUUAUGGGAUUGCGUCAGAUAAAGAUGCUUCUGUGGCUGAUAAUAUGAGCAUCUCUGUUGAUUCUAUUCAUUGGUCCGUGAAUUUUUCUAGAGCUGUACAGGAUUAGGAGGUGGACGACAUUGCUGACUUUUACAAUGUUUUAUAUGCGCUGAAAGUGCAAGCAGGAAGGGAGGACAGACUACUAUGGACACGCACAGGGAACAAGAAAUUUUCAGUCCGCUCUCUUAUUACUAGGUAUUGACAGUUCACGCCUCUAAUGCCUUCCCUUGGAAGAUCAUUUGGAGGAGUAAUGCUCCCCUCAAAGUUGCUUUCUUUGGCUGGUUGGCAUCCCAUGGGAAAUUAUAACUAUAGACAAGCUGAAAAAGCGUGGCCUCUACUUAACAGAUUGGUGCUUCUUGUGUAAACAUAGCAGUGAUUCAGCAGACCACCUGCUUCUCCAUUGCGAAGUAGUCAAGGCUUUAUGGGAUGAUAUCUUCACUAGGCUCGGCAUCGCAUGGGUUAUGCCUAGGAGGGUGAUGAAUUUAUUGUCAUGUUGGAGAGGGAUUUGGGGCCACCGUCAUGUUACAGCUGUUUGGAAGAUGGUGCCUCUAUGUUUAAUGUGGUGUACAUGGAUUGAAAGAAAUGGUCAAUGUUUGGAAAAUAGGAAACGCUCUCCGGAUGGUUUUAGGGCCUUUUUCUAUCACACAUUGUUGCUUUGGGCUUCAUCUAUAGUAUUGAACGGAGCGAGCUUUAAUGACUUUUAUGCUACUUUUUGUAGCGAGUAGUUUGUAAUUAGGCUAUUUUCUUAUAUACUUCCUGUGUACUCGGGCAUUGCCUAUUUACGUGGAUUAAUAAAACUUCUUACUUAUAAAAAAAUAUAUAUAUCAUUAAGAACUCCUGAUUAGGAUUUACCAUUCAAAGGUUCUCAUACGUUCUCUUCACUAAGGUUUUCAUGAUUAGGAUCCAUGAAUUUCUUGUAUCAAUAGUCACUAAUGCGUAGGUGUCGCUCUUGUAUAUAUCCCGUGUACUUGGGUUAUGAGUAUCAAUUUCAGCAAUAAAUUCUUUGUUUACUGAUAAAGAAAAAAGGUUUUCAUGAUUAGGGUUUCCUUAUGUUCUCUUGUUUGGUGGAUUACAUUUUUACCAUUCAUUAAUUUAAGUGUACUUUAUGCCAUUUUUAACCCAACCAGAUCUUGAGGCCAUUUUUUAUGUUAUUCUUUCUUAUCAUCGGGGGUUUUGAUCUUGGACAAGAAGGAUCAGUUCUCAGUGUCUAACCAACUAUAACGCAAGCCUGAUUUUUUGUUUGUCUCAACCUCUUCUGAACUCAUGGUUGCCAUGCUGAUAAUUUUGGCUAGGACUUAUAGCUGGUUAUUUUCAGCUGUAGUACAUAGAACUGUCCGACACCCUUUUUAUCACAGAAUCUGAGAAGUAUUAACAAAUCUUCUUAGUUUAAAAUUAAGGUAAGGCAUAUUAUC